GUUUGCUGCUGGGAUUUUGUGAAUCCGUCUCUUAACUUUCCACAUUUAGGGAUUGGCAUUAAUACACAAAUAUGCAAGCCACAAGGCUAUAUAUGUUUUUAAUUCUUUGUUCAAGUAUGUGUUUUGUAGUUGUGUGUUUGAUCCCUGCUUUGGAAAGACUUCAUUUGUUAAGGCAGAUGAACAAAGAUGAUUAAAAAGAGGGGGCUUUUACAAGCACAUUUACCUCAUUCCUGUGACUCAGAUCUUUUCAGCAUACUCGGCUGCUUGAAGGACAGGUUCAUUACCAUUAUCAGAAGACAUUGAUUUCUUUCGCAUCACCGUCAAGAUCUGCCACCAUACUAAUGAACUGAAAGAAUAACUCGAUACUGAGCAAUUUGUGUGAAUACCCUUUCUGAACUCAAUUGACCUCGACUAAUGGGCAGAAAAUAUAGUAACGGCACAAAAUAAUAGUGCCUAAGACUUGUCACCCAGAUAGCCGUUAGUCUUACCUGUCUGUACAAAUAUACACUGUAGCACUUCUCCAUCACGCGGCUCAUCAGUUCAUCCAAAAUCUCCGCUACGGCUUCUUCUCCCUCCUCCCCCGUCACCAUUGUGAGCCACUGGGAUUUGGUGAGACGCCCCGGGACAACGUCGCCUGUGGCAGGACUUGGCGCCGGGACAGGCGCUGGAGAUGCGGAAGCGCGCCCCCUUCUCGUCCGGGACUUUGGUGUGGUUGGAGGCAUUGCUGCUUACAGAAAGGGGCCAUCGCUGAUGAUUAUAGCCUACUCUAAAUCGAACAUACUUCUCUGGUUGUGGUUUUUAAAGAGAUGUUAAAGUUGUAUUAUUGCACUUAAGAGUCUUUUGAAUGUGUGCGCGCGCAAGUGUGUAAAAUAAUUCGCCAGUGGUGUAAACUGGUUAGUGACCUGCAGUGAAGUACAAUUGUGAUAAUUUUCAUGCAAGCUUGUAAAAAGUACGAAGCAAAGGUGCUGCAUUAGCUGCAACGAUAGAAUUGUGUCCUUGCAGCACCUUUGAUUUACACUUUUUAAUCACCCUAAUCAACCCCAUUCCUCAUCCUGGCUUCUCCUCGUCUUGCUCGUGUAGAUUUGUCAGCUACCGAAAAUCUGCUUUCUUGGCUUUGUCUUUUUUUCUCUUAAGGCAUUAUAUAGAAGGGCCUUGGUCUGUAUGGUCUCAUACUAAACUUAGAUCUUCCUUUAAUCUACAUCUCCUGCUGCCCAAUGUAUGCAAACAACCUACAAUAAUAUUUCUUACUACCUCCCGCCGUUAAACGAAUCUUACUUGGAUGCUUGUUCAGCGCAGUUUGUGACAACUUCCUCCGGCAGUAAAUCAAUUUGUCACAUGCACAGCUAAAUACUCAUCGUAACCAUAGGAAUCAAAUUGAACAGCAUUCACUCACCAUAGGUUAAUUACCUCUAAAGUUUGGUGAAAGUCGUGUUAAUGGUUGAGAAGGUGGCACAAGGGCUAACGCUGUUUGACACUUUCACUUUACCGUGACGCAUGGUAACGAGGUUGCCUAGCAAUACCAAACGUUUUGAAACAAUGUGUAGGCUAUUUAUGAUGAGAGAAAUAUUUUACAAAACGUUUAACAAUACAUAUAAAUAUAUAAAUGUGGCUCAUUUUAACCUUAAUUUUUAGACUGUGUCUCUUGAAAGUGUUUAAUUAGUGUUACAGUACAAUGGUUUUAUUUCAAUAAAAUGUCUUGGGUGAUUUCACGCCAUUCGUGGGGACAUAACGCAUUGACGCUGGUUCACGUGCUUUUUGUUUUUAAACCAAAUAUUUGUUACACGCUCACUUUAGCCUGUAUUUAUUUAUUUACUUAUGUUGUUGUUGCUGCUGCUGUUAUUGUUGUCGUUCAGAUUAAGAAUAUAUUUUUUUACCAAAAUCCUCGCAGUUCCAUAACAUUACAAAACAAAACAAAACCAUUUUUGUGCGAUAGGCUGGGCGUCUGUGAGAUCAGUGCAUUUCACAUUUUCACCGGUAGAUGGAAUACCCUGUUCCUAUGAAGUUGCAGCCACUUGAUUAAAAACCUGCUAAGG